AUGCAUAGCCAUACCAUCCUGAACGUGUCUGAUCUCAUCUGGUCUUGGAAGCUAAGCAGGGUCAGGACUAGUUAGUACUUGGAUGGGAGUCUGGCUAAAGGAUUCUCAAUUUGGGCUUC
ensembl:rRNA 5S_rRNA 5S ribosomal RNA